UGAGGGAACAUUGGGUCAAUGGGCGAGAGCCUGAACCAGCCAAGUAGCGUGCAGGACGACGGCCCUAUGGGUUGUAAACUGCUUUUAUAAGGGAAUAAAGUGAGUCUCGUGAGACUUUUUGCAUGUACCUUAUGAAUAAGGACCGGCUAAUUCCGUGCCAGCAGCCGCGGUAAUACGGAAGGUCCGGGCGUUAUCCGGAUUUAUUGGGUUUAAAGGGAGCGUAGGCUGGAGAUUAAGCGUGUUGUGAAAUGUAGACGCUCAACGUCUGCACUGCAGCGCGAACUGGUUUCCUUGAGUACGCACAAAGUGGGCGGAAUUCGUGGUGUAGCGGUGAAAUGCUUAGAUAUCACGAAGAACUCCGAUUGCGAAGGCAGCUCACUGGAGCGCAACUGACGCUGAAGCUCGAAAGUGC
rnacentral:rRNA from 1 species